AAUGGUAGCAGCUUGGAUUAAACUCAAAAUUUUCUUUAAAACUCUCUUAACUUUGACAGAGAGAGAAAGAGAAACAAAGCACUUGUACAUCAGAAAAUAAAACAGCCACAGAAAAGAACAAGGAAAAGGUAAAGAUCAAACCUCUUAAACACAUUAUCUCUGAAUACCCAGAAUUUGACAUAUCAGCAUCUCAAAAAUCAUGCAUUGAUUUAAAUUGUCAUAUAUUUAAAGGAACAGAUAAGAAAAGAAGACCACAGGCAGGGAGCUGGAUGUAAGUGAAGCAGCUGGGACAAGAACUGGUGACCAUAUGGGAUCCCUGCACAUGCAAGGGCAAUAUUUUACUACAAUUAAAUGAAAAAGCUUAGCUUUGCUAUUUCUCUGAAAACAAAAUCAUGACUGAAAGAGAAACAGUUCAAGAAUUGGACUUGAAAAAUCACAGAAGUUUUAAAAACGAAAGUUGGAAAAACUCAAAGAGUUCAGAAUCAGAAAACAUUCCAAAGAGCAACUGUCUUUAAGAAACAAUCCUUCAAUUAAAAAGGAAGAGAGACAAAACGGAUCUUCACACCUCUUUUCUAAGAUUUCUUAAGCAGAGUGUCAGCUCCAGUGCAUGUUACUCUGCUCCUGACCCAGCUCCCAGCAAACACACCAGGAAAGCACCAGAUGAAGGCUCAGGUACCUGAGUCUGCCAGCAACAGUGGAUAACCAGAGUUCCUACCUCCUGGAUUCAGCCUGGCAUGUUCAGGCUGUUGUGGCCAUUUGAGGAGUCAAUCAGCAAAUGAGACAUCUGUCUGUCUCUCCCUCCCUCUUUCCUUCCAU